CAUAAAUGUGUUUUGCAGACAGAAACGUAACCACGCCAUGGUUUUGCUUGAUGUGAUAGCUCCAGCCAAGAUGCAUAGGCAGGGGAAAUUAAGUGACAAAACGUUAAAACUUGUGGUCAUACUUCACAUUACAAUGCCCUUGCUGUGUAAUUAUUAUUGUAAGCUUAAUACAUAAUCGAAAAAUUUUGAAAAUAGUAUUGUAAAUGACUUGCUUGACCUGCUAUGGGAAAUAAACUACUGACAUGUACUUGUUUUUACAUCUACUAAUCUGCACACAAGGGUAAUCGGGAAAACAUACACUGAGAGUACAAAAUAUUAGGAACACCUGCUCUUUCCAUGACAUAGACUUAUCAAGUGAAUUCACGUGAAAACUAUGAUCCCUUAUUAAAUCCACUUCAAUCAGUGUAGAUGGAGGGGAGGACACAGGUUAAAGAAGGACUUUUAGCCCUGGGAUAACUGAGACAUGGAUUGUAUAUGUGUGCCAUUCAUAGGGUGAAUGGGCAAGAGUCUUUGAACGGGGUAUGUUAGUAGGUGCCAGGUACUCCGGUUUGAGUGUGUCAAGAACUGCAACGCUGCUUGGUUUUUCACACUCAACAGUUUCACGUGUGUAUCAAGAAUGGUCCACCACCCAUAGGUCAUCCAGCCAACUUGUCACAACUGUGGGAAGCAUUGAAGUCAACAUGGGCCAGCAUCCCUGUGGAAUGCUUUUGACACCUUGUAGUCAAUGCACCGAUGACUUGAGGCUGUUCUGACGGAGAAAAAGUGGUGCAACUCCUUAGUAGGAAGGUGUUCCUAAUGUUUUGUUCACUCAGUGUAUGUUAAUGCUGCCAUAUAAAUGCAAAAACAUAUCCCAUAGUAUAAUAUAGAAUAUCUGCCAUUGGAAUGUUUGUCACCUUCAACAUUUGGACUUUAAUAGCAGGAGGUGAGGGAUGGAAUAUGACCUGGCGCGAGAACCGGAUACGAUGCCCUCAUGAAAGAACAUGAGUUUCUGCCAGGCCAUUGUUAUCCAUACGAAGAUGAAUGGCUAUCCAGCUAAUGAACAUCUGCCUAACCUGCAGAAGGACUCCAACAGACACUGGCACCUUGAACUGACCAUCAAGCAGAGCAGCUGCUCUGCUCCAAAAUAUUUUAAGGAUGAUGCAAAUAUAGAAUGAUAGUGGAUAGGAAUGCAAAUGUAAUUGUAAUAAUUGAAUACUUAGAUAAGGAGGAUCAAUGGCUUUCUUCCUAUAUGUAUCUAAAAUUCUGAAGUUCAAACUCUUGACCUACACUAUGCUAUCAGCCCACUAUCUAGUCUGCUCCAUGAAGACUGAGAUAACUUAAGAUAGAUACUGUAUGUCCCAAAAUGGGUUUCAGUUUAUUGCAUUUUGCUGAGAACAUAAAUGCAUCUAAAAGUCAUAUAUUCAGGAAAGAUGCAGAUAUGUAUUUUUAACAGUCUGAAGCAGAGGCGGCACCACAUGUUCAAAAGUGGUGUGGCAAAAUGUGUAUGUGUCUUUUCUGGGCAUGAAGGUUUUACUUUUUCAUCUGUGCUAUGACGAUAGGGCUGGGUUUUUUCUUGUCGGGUCAUGUGAAUUGGAAACACUCCUGGCCUAAGGUGGAUCAAACCAUUUCAAACUACCACAAACUUUGUUAUUAUUCAUUCUGAAUCUGUUAUCAAAAGAGCCAGAGACAAAAACUUAAAUGGACAACAUACUCUGUAGUUUAGUGAACUACUAUAGCAGGGCUGAGCAUUAUGCACAGAAUGGUUACAAUGUCUUUAAAUAUGAAUGUCACUCGAUACACAUAUAAUGUUAAGCAGUGGACUUUGAAAUAUUAAAAAGAGAGACAGGUUUCAAUGUAGAAAAGUAUUUUAAUUUUAUGCCAUAUAUUAUCUGUUUAUCUGAUUACUGUGCUCUUCUGCAAUUAUUUAUUUUGUAAGCUUUAUGUAAGGCAGGGUUACAUUUAAUACCAUACACAGUUGUCAUAAUCGUCGUAUGGAGUGGACCAAAAUGCAGCGGGUAUAUGAAUGCUCAUCUUCUUUUAUUGAAGAAAACCAAAACAAAACACUUAUACAAAACAAACGACGAAAACAGUCCUAUAAUAUACACUGACUAUACACGGAGACAACCACCCACAAAACACAAGCUGAAAACCCCUACUUAAAUAUGGCCUCCAAAUAGAGGCAACGAAGAACAGCUGCCUCCAAUUGAAGGCCAAACCAAAACCCUGAACAUAAAAAUAGAACAACAUAGAACAGUACCCAAAAAACCCAACAACACAAAACAAACACACCCCUGGCACAUCCUGACCAACUACAAUAACAAAAUGACCCCUUUACUGGUCAGGACGUGACAGUACCCACCCCAAAGGUGCAGACCCCGAAUGCACCUGAGACAAAAACUCACAAAAAACAAUAACCCCAAACUAAAGGGAGGGAAGGGAGGGUGGCCACCGUCACUGACGGUUCUUGUGCAACACCCCCCCUUCCCAAUCCUCCCCCCUAUGGAGAUGGCUCAGGAGCGGGACGCCGACCCCGGACUGGGGACCCUCGCAGCGGGCGACUCUGGCAGCGCCGGACUGGCGGGCGACUCUGGCUGCGCCGGCCUGGCGGGCGACUCUGGCUGCGCCGGCCUGGCGGGCGACUCUGGCUGCGCCGGCCUGGCGGGGGACUCUGGCUGCGCCGGACUGGCAGUCGACUCUGGCUGUGCCGGACUAGCGGGCGACUCUGGCAGCGCCGGACUGGAGGGCGACUCUGGCAGCGCCGGACUGGAGGGUGACUCUGUCGGUUCCGGACUGUGGGCCGUCUCUGCAGGCUCCGGACUGUGCGCUGGACUGGAGGGCGACUCUGUCGGUUCCGGAGUGUGGUCCAUCUCUGAAGGCUCCGGACUGUGGGCCGUCUCUGUCGGCUUCGGACUGUGGGCCGUCUCUGUCGGCUCUGGACUGUGGGCCGUCUCUGUCAGCUCCGUACUGUAGGAUGUCGCCGGAAGCACUGGACGGGGAACUGUCGCCGGAAGCUCUAGACGGGGCACUGUCGCUGGAAGCUCUAGACGGGGCACUGUCGCCGGAAGUUCUGGACGGGGAACUGUCGCCGGAAGCUCUGGACGGGGAACUGUCGCCGGAAGCUCUGAAUGGGGACUGCGCACUGAAGGCCUGAUGCGUGGGGCUGGCUUUGGAGGCACCAGACUGGUGACACACACCUCAGGGCUAGUGCGAGGAGCAGGAACAGGACGUACUGGACUGGGCAGGCGCACUGGAGGCCUGAUGGGUGGGGCUGGCUUUGGAGGGGCCAGCCUAGUAACACGCACCUCAGGGCUAGUGCGGGAAGCAGGAACAGGGUACACUGGGUCCUGGAGACGCACUGGCGGUCUGGAGCAUACAGCCUGCACAACCCUUCCUGGCUGAGUGCUCAACCUAGCCUGGCAACGCUGAGGAGCUUUCACCGAUUGCACCAGCCUUUGAAUGCGUCUGGGCAAUACAGUGCGCAUUUCCGCAUAGCUCGGUGCUUUCUUGAUCCGUCACUCCCCAUAAUAAGCACGGGAAGUUGGCUCAGGACUCCGACCUGACUUAGCCACAGUACCCGUGUGCCCCCCCCAAAAAUGUUUCGCACUUGCCACUCGGUGCGUAUAACGCCUCGUAAUGGCGCCGUUCCGCCUUGGCUGCCUCCAGCUCCUCCUUAGGGUGCCGGUACUCCCCAGGCUGGUGCCAUGGUCCUGCCCCAUCCAGGAUCUCCUCCCAGGUCCAUGACUCCUUAUAGCUCCUCUGCUGCUCCUUCCUCCGCUGCUUGGUCCUCUUUUGGUGGGUGGUUCUCUCCAUGUAUAGUCAGUGUACCUUACAGGACUGUUUUUGUCGUUCUUUUGUUCAGUGUUCAUUUUCUUUCAAUAAAACAAGAAGAUGAUUCAUAUACCCGCUGCAUUUUGGUCCACUCCAUACGACGCUUGUGACAACAGUAGACUUUGUUCUAAUGUGUCGUAAAACCAAUUUCUUCAUCAUCUGAUUAGUGUUCUUCUGAAAUAAUGUAUUAUUUUAAGUCCUACUCCAGUAUUCUGUUCACCUCAUAUAACACCUGAGUUACUUAACAAAAGUUACAUCUCCAGGGCUUUAAAUUAAACAUUUUCAUUGAAGCACUAGUGCUCCCAACUUUAAAAAGUUAGGAGCACAACAUAAAAUCUAGGAGAACCAGAAUAUAUAUACACUGCUCAAAAAAUAAAGGGAACACUUAAACAAAAACAAUGUAAAUCCAAGUCAAUCACACUUCUGUGAAAUCAAAUUGUCCACUUAGGAAGCAACACUGAUUGACAAUAAAUUUCACAUGCUGUUGUGCAAAUGGAAUAGACAACAGGUGGUAAUUAUAGGCAAUUAGCAAGACACCCCCAAUAAAGGAGUGGUUCUGCAGGUGGGGACCACAGACCACUUCUCAGUUCCUAUGCUUCCUGGCUGAUGUUUUGGUCACUUUUGAAUGCUGGCUGUGCUUUCACUCUAGUGGUAGUGUCUGAUUAUUUCUGGCUGGAUACUCUCCUGACAUAAUCUAAUGUUUUGCUUUCGUUGUAAAGCCUUUUUGAAAUCGGACAGUGUGGUUAGAUAAAGGAGAGUCUUGUCUUUAAAAUGGUGUAAAAUAGUCAUAUGUUUGAAAAAUUGAAGUUUUCGGAUUUUCGAGGAAUUUGUAAUUCGUGCCACGCCCUAUCAUUGGAUAUUGGAGCGGUGUUCCGCUAGCGGAACAUCUAGAUGUAAGAGUUAACCAUGUAAAGACAUUUGUUUAUUAUAAAAAGCUAAAAUGUUGAUACAAAAAUCUGUCAUUGAAAUUACACAUUUCAUUUGAGGAAUAUUAGGUUUCUACAUUGUGUAAAAGCAAUACCUAUUUUGAUGCAUUACAUUGAAAAUUCUACACUGUCUCUUUAAGAGCGUCAAGUUCGUGAGUGUUGACAUGCAAGAGAUCAGUCAUUCAUUCAUUGCUAUGAUCAUUGAUCUUCUAAAGAAGCUAUCCUUUUCCCUUUAUUUCUGUGCCCCCAAAUGUUUAGAUAUACCGGUAAAGUAGCCAGGUUCUUAGCUAGCUAAUGAAUUAACAUGACUGCACAAGGUGUAAACAAAUGUCCGUGAGUUGUUUUGGAAUGACCCGCGACAUUUAUUAAACUAACUUUUUGGUCCACCAGGCACUGUGUCAGGUAGAUGAAAAAAUGGUCUUGGGUAGCAGUAGCAGAUUGUUUCAUCUUCUUUAUCCUGUGCCAAACACAUUUAUUCAGUGAGUCUAAAUUAUUAAUGUUAGCUACUGGCUGCAUGAUUGCAUCAACCUAGCUAGCUAAUGCUAGCUAGCUAACUAUCUAUUUAGGCUACUUAAGAAAACGUUAGUUGUUUUGUUAGCUAUAGAUUGGAUCAUUCUAGAUAGUUUUAGAGGAUGACUAAACUGCUUUUAUUAACUGCUUUUAUUAACACACCUUGUAUUUCAUGAAAAUAUGUGUUCGCACUCUCACGAGGUAGGCAGGCAGGAGAGGAGCAUGAGUGAGCGAAGAAAGAAGCAAAAUGCAGAGUGCAGAUUCAAACAACGAGGUGCUGGUGCAACCGAACAUAGUUGUUUAGAGGCGUGGUUGAUG
rnacentral:lncRNA from 1 species